rnacentral:rRNA from 1 species
UACGUAGGGGGCAAGCGUUGUCCGGAUUUAUUGGGCGUAAAGAGCGUGUAGGCGGCCACACAGGUCUGCUGUGAAAACUCGAGGCUCAACCUCGAGCUGUCGGUGGGAACCGUGUGGCUAGAGUCCGGAAGAGGAGAGUGGAAUUCCCGGUGUAGCGGUGAAAUGCGCAGAUAUCGGGAAGAACACCCGUGGCGAAGGCGGCUCUCUGGGACGGUACUGACGCUGAGACGCGAAAGCGUGGGGAGCGAACAGG